AAUUUUGGACAAUGGGGGAAUCCCUGAUCCAGCCAUCACGCGUGUAUCAUGAAGGCAUUAGGGUUGUAAAGUACUUUUGGCAGAGAAGAAAAGGUAUCCAAUAAUACGGGAUACUGCUGACGGUAUCUGCAGAAUAAGCACCGGCUAACUACGUGCCAGGAGCCGAGGUAAUUAGUAGGGUGCAAGCGUUAAUCGGAAUUAAUGGGCGUACAGCGUGGGUAGGCGGUUCGGAAAGAAAGAUGUGAAAUCACAGGGCUCAACCUUGGAACUGCAUUUUUAACUGACGAGCUAGAGUAUGUCAGAGGGGGGUAGAAUUCCACGUGUAGCAGUGAAAUGCAUAGAUAUGGGAAGGAAUACCGAUGGCGAAGGCAGCCCCCUGGGAUAAUACUGACGCGCAGACACGAAAGCAUGGGGAGCAAACAGG
rnacentral:rRNA from 1 species